UGUGUAUGUCGUCCCAAAAAA
rnacentral:piRNA from 1 species